CAGACCUCAAAAGUUUCAGAGGUGUAAUCAGGUAGCAUGGAGGAGUGAGCAUCCCCUGCGCCAAGCGUGCGACCAUAUUUCAAUGAAUGAAAUGUGUUUGAAUGCAGACUUAGAUCAGUUUCAUUAAACAUGGCUUCAAAGAGGUAUUGUAUAUGUAACAGGAAAGUUGUUGGCUCGAAUGACUUUAUCUACCUUAGGUGUUUAGAAAUGUAUAUUCAUAUUUAAGCUCUUUGGAAAACAACACCAAAUCUAAACCUCAGUUCUACUUCUUAAUAAUACAUUCAGGAAGAUUCACAAAUCCGAUUUUGGUUUUAAUGUGAUUGAGGAAAUAAAAAAAUUAUAUUUAUUAAAGUAAUCAGUUUAGACAUAAUGGUGCUGGUUUAUUUUAUGUACAUGUAUGUUCUGUGUAUUUUGUCUUUUUCUAUUGUGUCCUGCUUUCCAAAGUUGUGUUCUGGUGAAAAAUGCUGUCUUGGAUUUGUGUGGAAUAGAACGAUUAAGCAAUGUGUGGAAUGUAAACCUGGUUAUUUUGGAAUGGAUUGUGAUUCUCCUUUUCAAUGGCCUCGUUACGGUUUUCAUUGUCAGUUGACCUGUAACUGUAACGAAGAUCAAUGUCACCAUGUACACGGAUAUACAAGAGAUC